GAUCGGGAGGUCAUGGUGCGAGCCGAUCCCCCUUUCUCCGCAUCUGUCCUCCUCUCCGACCUCUCGCCACCGCCAUCGUCCUCGAAACUCUCUGCUAGAAGAUCUCUCCACGGCGACGCCUCACGUUCUUCCUCCGGUCGCCCGACGCCUUCGUCAUCUACGGGCGGACGAACUGGUGGGCGCAGUGCUGGGAGUCAGUACGAGUUCCAAGAUCGAUGUCCAAGAUCCAUCUUGGACAUGUUGGUCCGGGAUCAACGUUCUCUUCCUAUACCAGAGUAAAGAUUGGGGCUAGAAGAAGACGCGACAGAAUGCAGUCUCGAUUGAGGAUCAUCAUGCUUGAUCAUAAAUGGAGAUACAACAUUUGGUAGCUCCGACGAGAGGAACCAUGUUUGUGCUCUUAACUCGGCUAUACAUCAUGAUCCUUUCACUUUUACAUUGUUGCAUGCGCAUAAUUCGAAUUAUAUAAGUUCUUUAGCUUUAGAGAUUAGGGGUUCUUGAAGCUCAACAAUAAAGAUUAUUUCGUGCAUAAUAUUGAGGAAGCAUUAGUUCCGCAGUAGAAGGCGAUGUUUGUUCGGAUAAUAACAGAACGUAGUAUAGCACAUCGAACUAAAAUUCCAGAUGUUGUUUUGGCUGAUAACAUGACCUAUCAUAGUUCGGAGCCCUAUGAUAGAUAACAUGAGAAUGUGUACGAGUACUUCACCAUGGAGGAUUCAGGUCUAUUAUGAGAGAUGAGAUUUAGGCAAAACAAAUUAAGGAAUUCUAUCAGUGUGAAGUGGAUUCUGAAAGAUUUCUAUUUCUGAAAACGAAACAGAGACGAUAUAGGGAGGGAAAUUCCUCUAAUGAUCGAAGACAUACCGACUGUAUCCGUCUUGAUGAUCGUUUGCUUGAUGUUUGGUAGUUCUGCAAUGUUGUGUUUCCAUGGGCAUUACGCAAAAUAAUUUUCAAGAAAGUAUUGCCCGGACGAAAAUGGAGCAUUAACAAAACUUUUGUUAAUUAAGCCUAUGUUUGAUGUUUGUAGAUAGGAGAUCGAUUAUUACCACUCUGAAUAGAACAGCUGACAUCUCAUCCCACUUCAUGCAUAAAUUAUACUUUUGUUUUUCUGAUGCAGCUGUUUCUCUUUUGUGGACAGAAACUAAUUGUUCUGUUGUUCAACAAAACUUUGAUGGAAUAAUUAGCCACGGAGUUUACUUCUUUCUUUUGCAUUCAUCUCGAGUCGCUGACUUAUGUUUUGGUGAGAAGAUGGGAUCAGAGCAGGGUGGUACGUUGCACAUGAAAACUUGGAGUUGGUAGUAAGUUCCCCUCCUUUAUGGAUUAAUGGUAUGCAUUCGGGCAAUCCCUUUUCUUGUGAACUAUGAGUAUUUUGAAUCAGGGAGAUGAGACGUUUCUAAAUGACCAGAUUUCUCUGCA